AGAGUUUGAUCCUGGCUCAGGACGAACGCUGGCGGCGUGCUUAACACAUGCAAGUCGAGCGGUAAGGCCCCUUCGGGGUACACGAGCGGCGAACGGGUGAGUAACACGUGAGCAACCUGCCCCUGACUCUGGGAUAAGCCGUGGAAACGCGGUCUAAUACCGGAUACGACGCCUCACCGCAUGGUGGGGUGUGGAAAGUUUUUGUCGGUUGGGGAUGGGCUCGCGGCCUAUCAGCUUGUUGGUGGGGUGAUGGCCUACCAAGGCGAUUACGGGUAGCCGGCCUGAGAGGGCGACCGGCCACACUGGGACUGAGACACGGCCCAGACUCCUGCGGGAGGCAGCAGUGGGGAAUAUUGCGCAAUGGGCGGAAGCCUGACGCAGCGACGCCGCGUGGGGGAUGACGGCCUUCGGGUUGUAAACCUCUUUUACCACUCACGCAGGCCCCGGGUGUUCUCGGGGUUGACGGUAGGUGGGGAAUAAGGACCGGCUAACUACGUGCCAGCAGCCGCGGUAAUACGUAGGGUCCGAGCGUUGUCCGGAAUUAUUGGGCGUAAAGAGCUCGUAGCGGUGUGUCGCGUCUGCUGUGAAAGGCUGGGGCUUAACCCUGGUUUGCAGUGAUACGGCAUGCUAGAGGUAGGUAGGGGAGACUGGAAUUCCUGUGUAGCGUGAAUGCGCAGAUAUCUGAGGACACGGUGCGACGCGGUCUCUGGGCCUACUGACGCUGAGAGCGAAGCGUGGGAGCGACAGAUAAUACCUGUAGUCACGCGUAAACGUGGCG
rnacentral:rRNA from 1 species